rnacentral:rRNA from 1 species
UCCGUAGGCGGUGUGGCAAGUCGGAAGUGAAAUCUCUGGGCUUAACUCAGAGGCUGCUUCCGAAACUGCCGUGCUAGAGUGCGAGAGAGGCAAGUGGAAUUGCGGGUGUAACGGUGAAAUGCGUAGAUAUCCGCAGGAACAUCCGAGGCGAAAGCGGCUUGCUGGAUCGCAACUGACGCUGAGGGACGAAAGCUAGGGGAGCAAACAGGAUUAGAUACCCUGGUAGUCCUAGCCCUAAACCAUCAGGACUUGGGGUUUGCCCUGUACGGGGCAAGUCCCGUAGCUAACGCGUUAAGUCCUGCGCCUGGGGAGUACGGUCGCAAGGCUGAA